AUUGAACGCUGGCGGCAUGCCUUACACAUGCAAGUCGAACGGCAGCAUGAUCUAGCUUGCUAGAUUGAUGGCGAGUGGCGAACGGGUGAGUAAUACAUCGGAACGUGCCCUGUAGUGGGGGAUAACUAGUCGAAAGAUUAGCUAAUACCGCAUACGACCUGAGGGUGAAAGUGGGGGACCGCAAGGCCUCAUGCUAUAGGAGCGGCCGAUGUCUGAUUAGCUAGUUGGUGAGGUAAAGGCUCACCAAGGCGACGAUCAGUAGCUGGUCUGAGAGGACGAUCAGCCACACUGGGACUGAGACACGGCCCAGACUCCUACGGGAGGCAGCAGUGGGGAAUUUUGGACAAUGGGGGCAACCCUGAUCCAGCAAUGCCGCGUGUGUGAAGAAGGCCUUCGGGUUGUAAAGCACUUUUGUCCGGAAAGAAAUCGCACUUACUAAUAUUAGGUGUGGAUGACGGUACCGGAAGAAUAAGGACCGGCUAACUACGUGCCAGCAGCCGCGGUAAUACGUAGGGUCCAAGCGUUAAUCGGAAUUACUGGGCGUAAAGCGUGCGCAGGCGGUUGUGCAAGACCGAUGUGAAAUCCCCGGGCUUAACCUGGGAAUUGCAUUGGUGACUGCACGGCUAGAGUGUGUCAGAGGGGGGUAGAAUUCCACGUGUAGCAGUGAAAUGCGUAGAGAUGUGGAGGAAUACCGAUGGCGAAGGCAGCCCCCUGGGAUAACACUGACGCUCAUGCACGAAAGCGUGGGGAGCAAACAGGAUUAGAUACCCUGGUAGUCCACGCCCUAAACGAUGUCAACUAGUUGUUGGGGAUUCAUUUCCUUAGUAACGUAGCUAACGCGUGAAGUUGACCGCCUGGGGAGUACGGUCGCAAGAUUAAAACUCAAUGGAAUUGACGGGGACCCGCACAAGCGGUGGAUGAUGUGGAUUAAUUCGAUGCAACGCGAAAAACCUUACCUACCCUUGACAUGCCACUAACGAAGCAGAGAUGCAUUAGGUGCUCGAAAGAGAAAGUGGACACAGGUGCUGCAUGGCUGUCGUCAGCUCGUGACGUGAGAUGUUGGGUUAAGUCCCGCAACGAGCGCAACCCUUGUCUCUAGUUGCUACGAAAGGGCACUCUAGAGAGACUGCCGGUGACAAACCGGAGGAAGGUGGGGAUGACGUCAAGUCCUCAUGGCCCUUAUGGGUAGGGCUUCACACGUCAUACAAUGGUGCAUACAGAGGGUUGCCAAGCCGCGAGGUGGAGCUACUCCCAGAAAAUGCAUCGUAGUCCGGAUCGUAGUCUGCAACUCGACUACGUGAAGCUGGAAUCGCUAGUAAUCGCGGAUCAGCAUGCCGCGGUGAAUACGUUCCCGGGUCU
rnacentral:rRNA from 1 species